CCUACGGGAGGCAGCAGUAGGGAAUAUUGGGCAAUGGACGCAAGUCUGACCCAGCCAUGCCGCGUGCAGGAAGAAGGCCUUCUGGGUUGUAAACUGCUUUUAUCUGGGAAGAAAACACCUAUGCGUAGGAAACUGACGGUACCAGAUGAAUAAGCACCGGCUAACUCCGUGCCAGCAGCCGCGGUAAU
rnacentral:rRNA from 1 species